UAUUGGUCAAUGGCCUAGCGGCUGAACCAGCAACUUGGAGGAAUGUAUAGAGAAAGCUGGUAAAAUGUGAUGUAUCUACAAGUAUUAGUGAUUAAUAUGAGAUUAACUAAGUUAAUUAAAAUUCUAUGUAAAUAUCUGAUUAUGACAGUAUUUGCUUAUGUCUUGACCAAAUCACGUGCCAGCAGUCGCGGUAAGACGUGGAAGAUAAGUGUUAUUCAUGUUUAACAGGUUUAAAGGGUACCUAGACGGUUAGUUAAACACUUAAAUGUAUUAAUUAACUAGAGUUUGAUAUAAGAGGGAUUGAGUACGGUGAGUGUAGAGAUAAAAUUCUAUUAGACCACUAUGGAACUGGUAAAGGCGAAGGCAACCUUCUAUGUAAAAACUGACGUUGAAGGACGAAGGAGA
rnacentral:rRNA from 1 species